GAUGAAGAACGUAGCGAAAUGCGAUACUUGGUGUGAAUUGCAGAAUCCCGUGAACCAUCGAGUCUUUGAACGCAAGUUGCGCCUCAAGCCAUUAGGUUGAGGGCACGUCUGCCUGGGCGUCACAUAUCGUUGCCUGAUGCCAGUUUCCUCGUGAUGGGUGACUGUGCAGGGCGAAUGAUGGCUUCCCGUGAGCAUUGUUGCCUCAUGGUUGGUUGAAAAUUGAGUCCUUGGUAGGGAGCGCCGUGAUAUAUGGUGGUUGAGUGACGAACGAGACCCAAUCAUGUGAGACCCCUACCGAAUUUGGCCUUCAUGACCCACAUGCGUCUUUGGAACGCUCAUGACGAGACCUCAGGUCAGGCGGGGCUACCCGCUGAGUUAAAGCAUAUCAAUAAGCGGAGGA
rnacentral:misc_RNA from 1 species